CAGCUCCCUUUCUCUUCAGAUCGCAUAAAUCUUUCAUGUUUUACUAAAGAUUUUUAUGGAGAGGAACAAUUCUGAGUCUUAACUAAUUUUUGAGGCCUUGCUUCCAUUUGGGGG